UACAGAGGUCCCAAGCGUUACUGAGAAUCACUGGGUUUAAAGGGUGCGUAGGUGGUCCGUUAAGUCAGUUGUGAAAUCCCCGGGCUCAACCCGGGAACUGCUUCUGAUACUGGCGGACUUGAGGCCAGUAGGGGUCACUAGAACUGACGGUGGAGCGGUGAGAUGCGUAGAUAUCGUCAGGAAUGCCGGUGGUGAAGACGGGUGACUGGGCUGGUUCUGACACUGAGGCACGAAAGCGUGGGGAGCGAACGGG
rnacentral:rRNA from 1 species